rnacentral:rRNA from 1 species
AUUGAACGCUGGCGGCAGGCCUAACACAUGCAAGUCGAGCGGAUGAAGGGAGCUUGCUCCUGGAUUCAGCGGCGGACGGGUGAGUAAUGCCUAGGAAUCUGCCUGGUAGUGGGGGAUAACGUCCGGAAACGGGCGCUAAUACAGCAUACGUCCUGAGGGAGAAAGUGGGGGAUCUUCGGACCUCACGCUAUCAGAUGAGCCUAGGUCGGAUUAGCUAGUUGGUGGGGUAAAGGCCUACCAAGGCGACGAUCCGUAACUGGUCUGAGAGGAUGAUCAGUCACACUGGAACUGAGACACGGUCCAGACUCCUACGGGAGGCAGCAGUGGGGAAUAUUGGACAAUGGGCGAAAGCCUGAUCCAGCCAUGCUGCGUGUGUGAAGAAGGUCUUCGGAUUGUAAAGCACUUUAAGUUGGGAGGAAGGGCAGUAAGUUAAUACCUUGCUGUUUUGACGUUACCAACAGAAUAAGCACCGGCUAACUUCGUG